UGGGGAAUGGUGUAAUGGUAGCACGGAUGAUUCUGGUUCAUUCAGUCGGGGUUCGAGUCCCUGUUCCCCAGCCA
rnacentral:tRNA from 1 species